GAUGAAGAACGUAGCGAAAUGCGAUAAGUAAUGUGAAUUGCAGAAUUCAGUGAAUCAUCGAAUCUUUGAACGCAUCUUGCGCUCCUUGGUAUUCUGAGGAGCAUGCCUGUUUGAGUGUCAUUAAAUUCUCAACUACACUGACUUUGAAUUGGUGUGGCUUGGAUUUGGGGGGAAAAUUGUUGUGGGCUUUUUGUAUAGUCUGCUCCCCUGAAAUUGAUUAGCGGUACCUUUGUGGCACUGUCUACAGGUGUGAUAAUUAUCUACAUCUUAGACAUCUGCUGGAAUGCUGCUUUCUAAACCUUACUUGUAUUGACAAUCUUGACCUCACAUCAGGUAGGACUACCCGCUGAACUUAAGCAUAUCAAUAAGCGGAGGA
rnacentral:misc_RNA from 1 species